rnacentral:rRNA from 1 species
UACGUAGGGUGCGAGCGUUGUCCGGAAUUAUUGGGCGUAAAGAGCUCGUAGGCGGUGUGUUACGUCGGCCGUGAAAACCUGCAGCUUAACUGUGGGCGUGCGGUCGAUACGGGCAUCACUGGAGUUCGGCAGGGGAGACUGGAAUUCCUGGUGUAGCGGUGAAAUGCGCAGAUAUCAGGAGGAACACCGGUGGCGAAGGCGGGUCUCUGGGCCGAUACUGACGCUGAGGCGCGAAAGCGUGGGGAGCGAACAGG